UACGAAGGGGGCUAGCGUUGCUCGGAAUUACUGGGCGUAAAGCGCACGUAGGCGGAUUGUUAAGUCGGGGGUGAAAUCCUGGAGCUCAACUCCAGAACUGCCUUCGAUACAGGCGAUCUCGAGUUCGGGAGAGGUGAGUGGAACUGCGAGUGUAGAGGUGAAAUUCGUAGAUAUUCGCAAGAACACCAGUGGCGAAGGCGGCUCACUGGCCCGAUACUGACGCUGAGGUGCGAAAGCGUGGGGAGCAAACAGG
rnacentral:rRNA from 1 species